UUUGCAAUUCAUUUGUAUCUGCUUCACUUCUAAUUUGCAGUUGAUUUUUCUCUCUCUACUGUGUACUGACUCACCUAAAGAUCUUCCCUUUCUGAGUUCUACUAGACAGGGAUAAUUCUCUUUCAACUUCGCUGCUCUCAAGUGUCGUCUACUCUCUUUGAUCCUUCCACUGGGUGUGCAUAUGGUGUUUCCAAUUACUAGUCUAAAGAGCUCGAAACCGCAUCUGCAAAUCAGCUUCCCAAGUGAGUGAAAUGCUGAAAUUUCAAGCUAUCGUAUGUUCAACCUUGCUUCUGUUCUUCUAGUUGGGUGCUUUACUAAAUUUUGUAGUAGCUCUUAGUCUAUUGUAUUUGGGUGAAGAUGCAUUUUAACUUUUCUUGCCUCUUCCAUGAAUGUUUUACUUUUCAUAUGCUUGACAAAGUACACAUUUUUAACAUAAAGUUACUUCUUAAUUUGAAUAUCUUGGCAUAAGUUAAUGAUUUGAAAGAGAGUGAUAUGCAGUUAAAUCUCAUUUUAAAAAUGUAUAACUGUGUUA